AACGAACGCUGGCGGCAUGCCUAACACAUGCAAGUCGAACGAGAACAUCGGGUCUAGUGGCGCACGGGUGCGUAACGCGUGGGAACCUGCACUUAGGUUCGGAAUAACUCUCAGAAAGGGGUGAUAAUACCGGAUAAUGUCUUCGGACCAAAGAUUUAUCGCCUUUGGAUGGGCCCGCGUUGGAUUAGCUAGUUGGUAGGGUAAAAGACUACCAAGGCGACGAUCCAUAGCUGGUCUGAGAGGAUGAUCAGCCACACUGGGACUGAGACACGGCCCAGACUCCUACGGGAUGCAGCAGUGGGGAAUAUUGGACAAUGGGCGAAAUCCUGAUCCAGCAAUGCCGCGUAAGUGAUGAAGUCCUUAGGGUUGUAAAGCUCUUUUACCCGUGAUGAUAAUGACAGUACCGGGAGAAUAAGCUCCGGCUAACUCCGUG
rnacentral:rRNA from 1 species